rnacentral:rRNA from 1 species
CCUAUGAAUAGUUUAAAUGGCCGCAGUACUUUGACUGUGCAAAGGUAGCAUAAUCACUUGUCUUUUAAUUGGAGGCUGGAAUGAAGGAGGCGACGAAAAUUAGACUAUUUGGAUUUAAGGUAAAAUUAACAUAAAGGUCAAAAGGCCUUUAUAGACCAAAGGGACRAUAAGACCCUAUAAAACUUUACUAUAUAAUAUAUUACUYRNGUGGAAUUAAAGUUAUAGUUUAGCUGGGGCGGUUUAUAUAAAAACAAUUGAAAUAUAAAUAUAUUUAAUAGAUUUAGAGAGCUUUAAUAKGAAAUGAACAAGUUACUUUAGGGAUAACAGCAUAAUUCUCCCAGAGAGUCCUAAUUGGCGGGAGAGCUUAUGACCUCGAUGUUGAAUUGGGGUGUCUAAUGUAAGUAGAAAUAUAUUAAGAUAGUCUGUUCGACUAUUAAAYUCCC